rnacentral:rRNA from 1 species
CCUGGCGGCCAUAGCGCGGUGGCACCACCUGAACCCAUGCCGAACUCAGAAGUGAAACGCCGUAGCGCCGAUGGUAGU